rnacentral:rRNA from 1 species
AACGCGUGGGUAACCUACCUUCGAAUCUGGGAUAACUCCGCGAAAGCGGUGCUAAUACCGGAUAAGACCACAGCCGUUUCGGCGGCAGAGGUAAAAGCUGACCUCUCCAUGGAAGUUAGCGUUCGAGGACGGGCCCGCGUCCUAUCAGCUUGUUGGUGGGGUAAAGGCCUACCAAGGCAGCGACGGGUAGCUGGUCUGAGAGGAUGAUCAGCCACACUGGAACUGGAACACGGUCCAG